CACGAGUUUUUAGUGGACCCGAGGAGAAAACAUAAUAUUGUGACAUCACACUGCGGCGGUCAGUGACACCUCGCAGCCCUCGAGCCUUCAUGAACAUUAAUCGAACAGUAGAGAAAUACGAAGUAAUGCGAAAGAAAAACUCUUGGAAGUACAUAUUAUCAUUGAAACUAAAAAAGCGAUGCUCAAAAAUCACAAGAGUUGUACACCCAGUAGAAAAACCAAGGUUGUAAAAUGAUCAACAUAAAAUAAUAUAUUUAAUAUGAUUAACAAAAAACACAU